ACGUAGGUGGCAAGCGUUGUCCGGAUUUAUUGGGCGUAAAGCGCUCGCAGGCGGUCUUUUAAGUCUGAUGUGAAAGCCCACGGCUUAACCGUGGAGGGUCAUUGGAAACUGGAGGACUUGAGUGCAGAAGAGGAGAGUGGAAUUCCAUGUGUAGCGGUGAAAUGCGUAGAGAUAUGGAGGAACACCAGUGGCGAAGGCGACUCUCUGGUCUGUAACUGACGCUGAGGAGCGAAAGCGUGGGCAGCGAACAGGA
rnacentral:rRNA from 1 species